UUAUGAACUCUAGUUUUCUGGAAGUAUUGCUAUGUAGUGAUAAGUCGUGUAGUGAAUAGUCGUGUACCUGGCUUUCCUAUGGUACAUCCUCUUAAUCGGAGUAGUGCAUCUUCCUUUGUUAGUGGGGGUGAGGCGGGGCGAGGUCGAAGUACUGUCUCCUGCUGGCCAUCCAAGUGUGGAAGUUGUUGCCUUGGAGGUGUUGUCCUGUUGCUGCAAAAACUUCAAGCGUUGUAAUGCUUCCGUUGAAUGAGGGAUUAUUUCUAGCCGAUUCGACAAUUCAGUGCAAGUCUUCGGGGCCGUAAGGAACCGCAUCGAAGUAGCGUUGCCUCAUUUCAUUCAUGUGUUGCUGGCGUCGGAGUGUGCGGGGUUUGGUGGGGUAAUGUCCACCGCCAGUGUCUGCGGCAAAAAGGUUGCGGGCGGUAGCCAAUUCCAUUUGGGUGGACGACCCGGUGUUGCGAAUACCCCAUGACUUUUCCAGACUUUGUUGAAGAGUACGAUUAGCUCGUUUAUCUUUUCAAGGGAUCGGCUAUACCACUGCAGGUACCUACCCAUGAUGCUUUGGAGCGCCAUUCGCCAAUCGGUAGCCCCUUGCAAGAUGGAGCUAUUGCAUGGCUACAAUCUUGCUAGGGAACCAAGAGUGCCAGAUUCUUUGGAUGGCUUGUUUCCUUCGCUGAUAUGAGUAUCCUUGCUGGGAUGAUACGGACGUGGUAUGGUGUAGUAUGUGAACCUAUGGCCCUCUUUAUAAAGUUUUCGGAGUGCCAUGUUCUUGAAGAGAGGAGCCAUUUCAUUCUUGGAUCGUUUGUCCAGUUCCAAGUGCAAGGGUGUUGGGAAGCCCAUAUUCCGAUCGAUUUCUGCCAGUUUAUCUUUUCUCCACUUCCUUCACAUUAAAUGGUGAGUAUCUCCAUGGCCCUAUCCAGAUUAGUUUCGUUUUCUUGUAGAUAGAGAGCUGAAUCAUCAGCGUACAUUUGAUUAGUGGUGGAUCUGCCGUCGGGGAGAGUGAAGCCGUCUAAUGCUCUAUUUGGGUCUGCAAGCAUAUGUCUGAGGACGUCUCCUGCGAGUAGAUAGAGGUAGGGUGCUAAGGGGCACCUUUGCCUUACGGAUCGUUGGAGUGAAAAUUGUUCAUCUGGAGUACCAUUAUCACUUGUGCGGAUGCUUCCUUAUUUAGUCCCAUCACAAGGUCCACCCAGUCUUGUGGAAAGCCCAUAUGUAGCAUUGUUUCUUCUAGGAACUUCCAACUAAUUCUAUCAUAUGCCUUUUCGAAGUCCAAUAGAAGAAGGAUCAAGGAUUAGUUACUCUCUAUUGCCCAGGCCAUUGCUGAUCGUACCAUAAAGGUGUUGUCAAAGAUGCAUCUUCCUAGCACAAAAGCUGUUUGAGAACUUCUUUAUCCAGAUGGGGAGGAAUGGUAUCAUACGAUUUGCAAGGAUUUUGGCGAUUAUCUUGUAGACUGAGCUUAGUAUGGAAAUCGGCUUGAAGUUGGUGAGAUAUACGAGUUCCCCUCCCUUUGGAAUUAGACAGAUCGUGCUUGUAUUGAGUGAUCGAUACAGGGCUUUGGUAGUAAAGAUUUCGGUGAUCAGGCCUAAGAGGUCGCCGAUUAUGUCAUCCAAGAAAGUUUGAAAGAACUCGAUGGAGAUACCAUCGAGACCGGGUGAUUUGCCGAUAGGCAGACCUUUGACUGCU